rnacentral:rRNA from 1 species
CCUACGGGGGCUGCAGUGGGGAAUAUUGGACAAUGGGCGAAAGCCUGAUCCAGCCAUGCCGCGUGUGUGAAGAAGGCCUUCGGGUUGUAAAGCACUUUCAGUGGGGAAGAAAGCCUUGGGGCUAAUACCCUCGAGGAAGGACAUCACCCACAGAAGAAGCACCGGCUAACUCCGUGCCAGCAGCCGCGGUAAUACGGAGGGUGCGAGCGUUAAUCGGAAUUACUGGGCGUAAAGCGCGCGUAGGCGGUCUGAUAAGCCGGUUGUGAAAGCCCCGGGCUCAACCUGGGAACGGCAUCCGGAACUGUCAGGCUAGAGUGCAGGAGAGGAAGGUAGAAUUCCCGGUGUAGCGGUGAAAUGCGUAGAGAUCGGGAGGAAUACCAGUGGCGAAGGCGGCCUUCUGGACUGACACUGACGCUGAGGUGCGAAAGCGUGGUAGCAAACAGGAUUAGAUACCCCUGUAGUC